rnacentral:rRNA from 1 species
ACGGGAGGCAGCAGUGGGGAAUAUUGGGCAAUGGGCACAAGCCUGACCCAGCAACGCCGCGUGAAGGAAGAAGGCUCUCGGGUUGUAAACUUCUUUUAUAUAGGACGAAACAAAUGACGGUACUAUAUGAAUAAGCCACGGCUAACUACGUGCCAGCAGCCGCGGUAAUACGUAGGUGGCAAGCGUUAUCCGGAUUUACUGGGUGUAAAGGGCGUGUAGGCGGGAAGGCAAGUCAGAUGUGAAAACUAUGGGCUCAACCCAUAGCCUGCAUUUGAAACUGUUUUUCUUGAGUAUCGGAGAGGCAGGCGGAAUUCCGUGUGUAGCGGUGAAAUGCGUAGAUAUACGGAGGAACACCAGUGGCGAAGGCGGCCUGCUGGGCUUUAACUGACGCUGAGGCACGAAAGUAUGGGGAGCAAACAGGAUUAGAUACCCUGGUA